ACUCUGCCGGUUUUGCUGCGGAAGUCACCUCGUGGCGUAGGGGAGAGGUAACACCGAGAAGAGGCAGCGGCGGUGGCGCCAAGACGAUUGGUGCCAAACAGGGCAGAACGCAACUCAGCUCUGGGUUUGUGAAUAGCACAAUGGAAGAAGCUGGACUUUGUGGGUUAAGAGAGAAAGCAGAUAUGUUGUGUAACUCUGAAUCACAUGAUAUUCUUCAACAUCAAGACUCAAAUUGCAGUGCCACAAGUAAUAAACAUUUAUUGGAAGAUGAAGAAGGCCGUGACUUUAUAACAAAGAACAGGAGUUGGGUGAGCCCAGUGCACUGCACACAAGAGUCAAGAAGGGAGCUUCCUGAGCAAGAAGUAGCCCCUCCGUCUGGUCAGCAAGCUUUACAAUGCAACAGGAACAAAGAAAAAGUCUUAGGAAAAGAAGUUUUAUUAUUGAUGCAAGCCCUAAACACUCUUUCGACUCCAGAGGAGAAGCUGGCAGCUCUCUGUAAGAAAUAUGCUGAUCUUCUGGAGGAAAGCAGGAAUGUUCAGAGGCAAAUGAAGAUUCUGCAGAAUAAGCAAGCUCAGAUUGUCAAAGAGAAAGUUCACUUGCAGAGUGAAUACAGCAAGACCAUCUUGGCAAGAAGCAAGCUAGAAUCUCUUUGCAGGGAACUUCAGCAAAAUUAAUGUCAAAAUAAGACAUUAAAGGAGGAACAUAUGCAGCAGAAAAAAGAGGAGGAAGAAGUUCUUAAAGAAGUAACUGCACAUUUCCAAAUUACUUUAACUGAAACUCAAGCCCAGCUGGAACAGCAUGAAAUACACAAUGCCAAACUGCAGCAGGAGAACAUGGAAAUGGGAGAAAAGCUAAAGAAGCUCACUGACCAGUAUGCACUGAGGGAAGAGCAAAUUAAUAAAGCGUUCAAACAUAAGGAAUUACGACAACAGCUUGUAGAUGCCAGACUUCAACAAACAGCACAGCUGAUAAAAGAAGCUGAUGAAAGACAUCAGAGAGAGAGAGAGUUUUUAUUAAAAGAAGCAACAGAAUCGAGGCACAAAUAUGAAGAAAUGAAACAAGAAGAAGCACAACUGAAAGAGCAGCUUUUCCUUUAUAUGGAUAAGUUUGAAGAAUUCCAGACUACCAUGGCAAAAACCAAUGAACUUUUUACAGCCUUCAAGCAGGAAACGGAAAAGCUGACAAAGAAAAUUAAAAAACUGGAAAAAGAAAUGGUAAUAUGGUAUACCAAAUGGGAAAAUAAUAAUACAACACUUCUGCAAAUGGCUGAAGAGAAAACUAUUCGUGAUAAAAAUUAUAAGGUCUUUCAAAUAAAAUUGGAGCGGUUAGAGAAGCUGUACAAGGCUCUUCAAAUAGAAAGGAAUGAACUCAGUGAGAAACUGGGAAUUCUGAAAGGGCAGGUCUCUGUGAAAGUAGCAGAUGUAGAUUUAGCAGUGCCUGUGACGCAUUCCUGUGCUGACCUGGAUUCUUCCAAUAUGCUGAACACUUCCUCUAAAAGAGCCCCAGGAGUCCAUCUGGAGGCUGACCCCAAAGGAAUGAAUGAAGUAAAAUGCUACUCAAAAGCCCUCUCCACAGGAUCUCCUCUAGGCAUUGAUUAAGAUUAAGUGUGAUCAUUGUACUGAUGGAUAUAUUUUGUGUACAUGUUUCUCUUUUAGUUGUAACUAUUGAUUUUGUAAUGAAAAUUUCCUCUCCUUUUUCUACCAUAUCUCUGUUUUUUUAGAACUACUCAACUGUGUGGUAACAGAAAGCUUCUUACCAAUUUCCCCAACUAUGUUGCACAUCAGCCUCAUUUUCCCCCUUUAUUGGAAUGCAUGUUUUCAUUGCCUUCUCCUUUCAAAGUGUACGUUUGUGUGUUCAUCACCUUAAAUUAUCUUAAUUUGAGACUUUUUUAUAAUGGUUUCGUAAUGUGAAAUCAAAUACUAAUUUAAACUCUGGAGCCCAUAAUAUCUACAUAAAAGAAAAUAUAAACUGACUAAUAUUGUCAAGUCAUUUAAAUGAUAAGUAAAACUUCAAUGGAUUAAGAAACAAGCAUGGCAUAUUUGAUUCAGAUCAGUUUUUUGACAAUAUUUGUAUGACUUUCCAAAUUGAUGUGACUGUAAACUUUGAAUUCCUCAAAAUUGACAGAAUAUAUAUAUAUAUAUAUAUAUAUAUAUAUAUAUAUAUGUAUGUACACACACACAGAGAGAUCAUUUAAAUGUAAAUGAUGUUAAGAAAAACCAAAACAGUAGCAUAUGCAGGCAAGUCAUUGGACCAAUAGGCUUAAUAUUUAUGAAACUGACAAUUGUUCUGCUUUAGUUUCAGGUUACAAUUAUGUUUAAAGAAAAAAAAAUCAGUAUCUAGAUCUCUGCACUUGGCAUGGAAAAUUUUGAACUAUUUAUUCCUUAAUUUUCUUUUAUUUCAGUUUCUCAUAGAGCUAAAUGGUUUUACAUAUAUUCUCUUGUCAGAUUUGUGGUCUAAUAGAGGUAGAAAAUGGAAAUUUUCCCAGUACUUAGAAAUAUGGUACUUAGGAAGAAGUCUAGGAUGUGAAUUACAUAUACACUUCCCCUAGUGACUAUGAUAAUCAAGGGGGCAGAUAGCAGAGGAAAAUAAGUUAACAUGAAAUUUGACAAAUUUUAUUACUUUGCCAAAAUUAGCAAAACAAAAAUACUCACCUUCCCCUGCUCACCCCCCAACUUUUUAUAAAUAUUCAAUUCAGCUACAAAACAAAAUACUGGACCCACUUCUUUCAGAAGAGAUGAAGAUACCUUAUAUGCCCUAAAGUUAAUACCAGCAGUCAUAUUUUAUCAGAUGUAAAUCUGGAUGUAAGCUCUUAAUGUUAUACUAAGGCAGUUUCUUAGGCUGUGACACUUCUUUGUGGUACUUGUUUUGUGUGAAAGGUAAAUUUUGGGGAGAAAACAAUGUGAAAAACAGAACUUGUUCUGUUGUUUUUGGCAUACUGUUUAUGUUAGAUACACUGUGUUACAAUACAAUAUUACGAAGAUCUGCAUUGUAUUUUGGAAUUUGGUUUCCUUUCAGAAUUAUUGCUCUGGCUAGCAUUGGAAACAACAACAACAACAAAACCCAAAGGAACCCUUUGCAGAAGAUUCCCUUGUAAAUGGCCCUGUGGCAUGCCCAGUAUCUGCAAUGUUCUAGAAUAGAAGUUGGCAAACCUCUCUGUUUGCCAAGCCUGCAGAGUUGAACAUGUCCAUAAAUGUAUACAAUCUGACCCUGUUUUUUGGCCCUGUUUCUGGACACUGUAGCUGACCAAGAAAAUGUUUAAAUGUUGCGAUCAAUUAAAUUUUUUUGUUGUAUCAUUCUGGAGUUGUAAUAUGUAUAGUGGCAGGGGAUUCCAAGCUAUAGAAAAAACAUGAGUCUAGAAUGACAGAGUGUGUCAUCUUCAAAUGUGUAUUAAUAUAUUUCUUGAUGAUGAGACCAAUAUUUCUAAGUUAAUGGAACUAUUUUAUUACACCUGAUAAUCACAGUUCAAUUCUUGUCUGUUGCAGAAUUAUCUACCUCUUUCAAACUGUAAAUGAAAAUAACUGUGAAAAAAAGGAUGCAGUACUGAUAAAAACACUGCUUUGUUUUUAUCUCACCUCUUUUUUAAGGAUAUGAUUUUAUAAGAGGCAGUUCUCUUUUGCUUUUCAAGACUUCUGUAGAGUUUGUGUUUUUUGUUUUUGUUUUUGUUUUUGUUUUUGUUUUUUUACCUAAUGUGAAUCUUAUUUUAUCUACUCAACUUCGUUCAGGUUAACUAAAGAUAUAGAUAUAAUGGUUAAUAUAGUAGCCUCUGUGUAUUCUUUAUAAUGAAUGUCACCUCAACUGUGUAACAGUGAAGUUCAAAAAUAACUGUUGGAAAAAGUUACUAUUUUUAAGGUCUUAAAAAACAUAGUUAAUUGCACAAUUUAAAGAUGCGUUACCAUCUGGUUAGUUGGCAAAAAUAACUUCAUUCAGUCAGAUCUCUGUUAGCAUGGCCACUCCCAAACCCCCAUUCAAAAUAGGUGACCUACCCCUUUUAAAGUGGGUUACUUUAAGAUUUCUGUAGUUUAACUUCUGGCAAGGCUUUUAAGAAUCACAGUAUUCAAGAAAUUUUCUACUAUCAGUUAACCUUAGCCUAUCCAAAUUUACUGGGAACUGAAUAGAUAUAAAUAGCAGGUGAUACUUGUAUAAAGAAUUUCAGUGUCUUAUUAUUUAGUCAUGGGUGAGCAAAAGUUAAUAUAACAUUAUGUAAACAAUUAGAUAGCUUUUACUUUCUAGACCAGGGGUUCCCAACCCCCAACUGGUAGUGAUCAUGGCCUGUUAGGAACCAGGAUGCACAGCAGGAGGUGAGCAGCAAGUGGGCAAGUCAAGCUUCAUCUUUAUUACAGCCACUCCCCGUUGUGACAUUACUGCCUGAACUCCACCUCCUGUAAGAUCAACAGCAACAUUAGAUUCUCAUUGGAGCACUAACCCUGUUGUGCCCUAUGCAUGUGAGUGAUCUAUCUUGCAUGCUCCUUAUAAGAAUCUAAUGCCUGAUGAUCUGUCCCCCAAGAUGGGACUGUCUAGUUGCAGGAAAACAAGCUCACAGCUCCCACUGAUUCUAUAUUAUGGUGAGUUGUAUAAUUGUUUUAUUAUGUAUUACAAUGUAGUAAUAAUAGAAAUAAAGUGCAAAAUAAAUAUUAUGCAUUGAACCAUU